rfam:Schistosoma margrebowiei strain Zambia genome assembly, scaffold: SMRZ_scaffold0001809
AUUUAGCUGACAAGUCGCAAAUAGGAUGAAACGUUCGUCCUGGAU